rnacentral:rRNA from 1 species
CCUACGGGAGGCAGCAGUGGGGAAUAUUGCGCAAUGGGCGAAAGCCUGACGCAGCGACGCCGCGUGAGGGAUGAAGGUCUUCGGAUCGUAAACCUCUGUCAGCAGGGAAGAACGGUCACUGUGCUAAUCAGCAGUGCAUUGACGGUACCUGCAAAGGCAGCACCGGCUAACUCCGUGCCAGCAGCCGCGGUAAUACGGAGGGUGCGCGCGUUAAUCGGAAUUACUGGGCGUAAAGCGCUCGUAGGCGGUAUGUCAAGUCAAGGGUGAAAUCCCCGCGCUCAACGUGGGAACUGCCUUUGAAACUGGCAAACUGGAGUGUGUGAGAGGAUAGUGGAAUUCCAGGGGUAGGAGUGAAAUCCGUAGAUAUCUGGAGGAACAUCAGUGGCGAAGGCGACUAUCUGGCACAUAACUGACGCUGAGGAGCGAAAGCGUGGGUAGCAAACAGGAUUAGAUACCCCUGUAGUC